UACGGGGGGGGCAAGCGUUGUUCGGAAUUACUGGGCGUAAAGGGCUCGUAGGCGGCCAACUAAGUCAGACGUGAAAUCCCUCGGCUUAACCGGGGAACUGCGUCUGAUACUGGAUGGCUUGAGUUUGGGAGAGGGAUGCGGAAUUCCUAGUGUAGAGGUGAAAUUCGUAGAUAUUAGGAAGAACACCGGUGGCGAAGGCGGCCCACUGGAUCGGUACUGACGCUGAGGUGCGAAAGCGUGGGGAGCAAACAGG
rnacentral:rRNA from 1 species